rnacentral:rRNA from 1 species
AUUGAACGCUGGCGGCAGGCCUAACACAUGCAAGUCGAACGAGUGGCGGACGGGUGAGUAAUGUCUGGGAACCUGCCCAAUGGAGGGGGAUAACUACUGGAAACGGUGGCUAAUACCGCAUACUAUUGGAUCUGCCGAUAUGGGAUUAGCUAGUUGGUGGGGUAACGGCUCACCAAGGCGACGAUCCCUAGCUGGUCUGAGAGGAUGACCAGCCACACUGGAACUGAGACACGGUCCAGACUCCUACGGGAGGCAGCAGUGGGGAAUAUUGGACAAUGGGCGAAAGCCUGAUGCAGCCAUGCCGCGUGUAUGAAGAAGGCCUUCGGGUUGUAAAGUACUUUCGGCGGGGAGGCGUUACCCGCAGAAGAAGCACCGGCUAACUCCGUGCCAGCAGCCGCGGUAAUAC